rnacentral:tRNA from 1 species
GGGGAUUUAGCUCAGUGGUAGAGUGCUUGCUUAGCAAGCACAAGACCCUGGGUUCGAUCCUCAGCUCCG